AGCCUGGGCAAAUCAGUGGAGCUCUU
rnacentral:piRNA from 1 species